GCGGGCGUAGCUCAGUGGUAGAGCCUUGGCCUUCCAAGCCGAGUGUUGCGCGGGUUCGAUCCCCGCCGCCCGCU
rnacentral:tRNA from 1 species